AACCGAUCUCUUCUCGAAGUGGGUUGUGGCAUAACCGCUGUGCUCCAAAACAGCCGUUGAGGCGUCACGAAAAAUUGUGAAUAUCCUCCUCGACUUUGGUCUGGUUGACAGGAUUAUUACAGACUAAGGACGGGAAUUUGUUAAUGAGCUCAACCAUGGGGUGUUUGCAGCGCCCGGUGUGAAACACUGCAUCACUUCAGCCUAUCACCCACAGGCCAAUGGACAAGCAGAGAGGACAAAUAAGACAAUUAGGUCAGCCCUGGCCAAGUACUGUGGGGAAGAGCAGAAUGACUGGGAUCUGUAUUUAAGGGGAAUUGUUGCAAGUGUCAACACCUCAAAACAGAGAUCAACCAAGUUCACACCGUAUUGUGCCCUUUUUGGGAGGCACCCUCGCUCCCCUGGGGUGAUUAAUUUAGAGGAGGAUGGGGACUCUCUUACGUCUGUCUGGGACUCAAGCGACGAGAAGCUUGAGGCACAAACUGCAGAAGUCGCAGAUCUG